UGUGACCUCAAAUCAGGUAGGACU
rnacentral:rRNA from 1 species